AGUCGUCUGCCGGCGGCUGGGCGAGUCAGAAAUUGUGGGUGUAGGCGAAGGGCAUGCGAAAGGCCCGGCGUAGAGGGUAAGACCCCCGUAGCUGAAACAUCUGCAACUCGCUUGUGGGUUUCCCAAGUAGCAUGGGGCCCGAGAAAUCCUGUGUGAAUCUGGCGGGACCACCCGUCAAGCCUAAAUAUUCCCUGGUGACCGAUAGCGGAUAGUACCGUGAGGGAAUGGUGAAAAGUACCGCGGGAGCGGAGUGUCGUGACUGCGUGCCUUUUGAAGAAUGAGCCUGCGAGUUUGCGGCAUGUUGCGAGGUUAACCCGUGUGGGGGAGCCGUAGCGAAAGCGAGUCCGAAGAGGGCGUUGAGUAGCGUGUUCAAGACCCGAAGCGGGGUGAUCUAGCCAUGGGCAGGGUGAAGCGGCUGUAAGAGGUCGUGGAGGCCCGAACCCACCAGGGUUGAAAACCUGGGGGAUGACCUGUGGUUAGGGGUGAAAGGCCAAUCAAACUCCGUGAUAGCUGGUUCUCCCCGAAAUGCAUUUAGGUGCAGCGUCGUGUGUUUCUUGCCGGAGGUAGAGCACUGGAUAGGCGAUGGGCCUUACCGGGUUACUGACCUUAGCCAAACUCCGAAUGCCGGUAAGUGAGAGCGCGGCAGUGAGACUGUGGGGGAUAAGCUCCAUGGUCGAGAGGGAAACAGCCCAGAGCAUCGACUAAGGCCCCUAAGCGUGUGCUAAGUGGGAAAGGAUGUGGAGUCGCAGAGACAACCAGGAGGUUGGCUUAGAAGCAGCCAUCCUUGAAAGAGUGCGUAAUAGCUCACUGGUCAAGUGAUUCUGCGCCGAUAAUGUAGCGGGGCUCAAGUACACCGCCGAAGUCGUGUCACUCCAGCAGUACUCCUAACGGGGGCUGGGGUGGGUAGGGGAGCGUCGUGUGCCGGGUGAAGCAGCCGUGGAAGCGAGUUGUGGACGGUUCACGAGUGAGAAUGCAGGCAUGAGUAGCGAUACAUGCGUGAGAAACGUGUGCGCCGAUUGACUAAGGGUUCCUGGGUCAAGCUGAUCUGCCCAGGGUAAGUCGGGACCUAAGGCGAGGCCGACAGGCGUAGUCGAUGGAGAACCGGUUGAUAUUCCGGUACCCGCUAUGCAGCGUCAAACAUCGAAUCAGGUGAUGCUAAGUCCGUGAUACCGCUUGUGCUGGCUUUGCCGGUGCGGGUUUGGUGGAGCCGACGGCCCGAGCUUGUAGUAGGUGAGUGAUGGGGUGACGCAGUGAGGUAGUCCAGCCCGGGUGAUGGUUGUCCCGGGGUAAGGGUGUAGCCCGGUGUGCAGGUAAAUCCGUGCGCCGUUACAGGGGUGAGACCUGAUGCCGAGCCGUUUGUGGUGAAGUGGGUGAUCCUGUGCUGUCGAGAAAAGCCUCUAGCGAGUUGUGUGGCGGCCCGUACCCUAAACCGACUCAGGUGGUCUGGUAGAGAAUACCGAGGCGUUCGGGUGAACUAUGGUUAAGGAACUCGGCAAAAUGCCCCCGUAACUUCGGGAGAAGGGGGGCCUCCUCUGGUGAUCCAGCGUGCUUGGUGAGCUGGGGGUGGCCGCAGAGACCAGCGAGAAGCGACUGUUUACUAAAAACACAGGUCCGUGCGAAGCCGUAAGGCGAUGUAUACGGACUGACGCCUGCCCGGUGCUGGAACGUUAAGGGGACCGGUUAGCUCCAUUUCGGUGGGGUGAAGCUGAGAACUUAAGCGCCAGUAAACGGCGGUGGUAACUAUAACCAUCCUAAGGUAGCGAAAUUCCUUGUCGGGUAAGUUCCGACCUGCACGAAUGGCGUAACGACUUCUUGACUGUCUCAACCAUAGGCCCGGUGAAAUUGCAGUACGAGUAAAGAUGCUCGUUUCGCGCAGCAGGACGGAAAGACCCCGGGACCUUUACUACAGCUUGAUAUUGGUGUUCGGUUCGGCUUGUGUAGGAUAGGUGGGAGACUGUGAAGCGGGCACGCCAGUGUUCGUGGAGUCGUUGUUGAAAUACCACUCUGGUCGUGCUGGAUGUCUAACCUGGGUCCGUGAUCCGGAUCGGGGACAGUGUCUGGUGGGUAGUUUAACUGGGGCGGUUGCCUCCUAAAGGGUAACGGAGGCGCCCAAAGGUUCCCUCAGCCUGGUUGGUCAUCAGGUGGUGAGUGUAAGUGCACAAGGGAGCUUGACUGUGAGACUGACGGGUCGAGCAGGGACGAAAGUCGGGACUAGUGAUCCGGCGGUGGCUUGUGGAAGCGCCGUCGCUCAACGGAUAAAAGGUACCCCGGGGAUAACAGGCUGAUCUUCCCCAAGAGUCCAUAUCGACGGGAUGGUUUGGCACCUCGAUGUCGGCUCGUCGCAUCCUGGGGCUGGAGUCGGUCCCAAGGGUUGGGCUGUUCGCCCAUUAAAGCGGUACGCGAGCUGGGUUUAGAACGUCGUGAGACAGUUCGGUCCCUAUCCGCUGCGCGCGUUGGAGUCUUGAGAAGGGCUGUCCCUAGUACGAGAGGACCGGGACGGACGGACCUCUGGUGUGCCAGUUGUUCUGCCAAGGGCAUGGCUGGUUGGCUACGUUCGGGAAGGAUAACCGCUGAAAGCAUCUAAGCGGGAAGCCUGCUUCGAGAUGAGGACUCCCGCCCCCUUUGAGGGGUUAAGGCUCCCUGGAGAUGACGGGGUUGAUAGGCCGGAUCUGGAAGCACGGUAACGUGUGGAGGUGACCGGUACUAAUAGGCCGAGGGCUUGUCCGUA
rnacentral:rRNA from 1 species